rnacentral:tRNA from 1 species
GGGAUAGCUCAGUUGGUAGAGCAGAGGACUGAAAAUCCUCGU